AUUGAACGCUGGCGGCAUGCCUUACACAUGCAAGUCGAACGGUAACAGGUCUUCGGGUGCCGACGAGUGGCGAACGGGUGAGUAAUGCAUCGGAACGUACCUUUCAGUGGGGGAUAACGUAGCGAAAGUUACGCUAAUACCGCAUAUUCUGUGAGCAGGAAAGCAGGGGAUCGCAAGACCUUGCGCUGAUUGAGCGGCCGAUGUCAGAUUAGCUAGUUGGUGAGGUAAAGGCUCACCAAGGCGACGAUCUGUAGCGGGUCUGAGAGGAUGAUCCGCCACACUGGAACUGAGACACGGUCCAGACUCCUACGGGAGGCAGCAGUGGGGAAUUUUGGACAAUGGGGGCAACCCUGAUCCAGCCAUGCCGCGUGAGUGAAGAAGGCCUUCGGGUUGUAAGCUCUUCGGCCGGGAAAAUACGCAUCAGUUAAUAACCUGGUGUGGAUGAUGGUACCGGAAUAAGAAGCACCGGCUAACUACGUAGCCAGCACG
rnacentral:rRNA from 1 species